rnacentral:lncRNA from 1 species
AGAAGCAUAUGAAAACAUAGAUGACUUUCAGAAAUUGAAAUCAAACUAGUUCAGAGGUGAGAACAUGCUACUCACAUACACGUGGUCUGAAAACCCCCAAAUUCUAGGGUUUUCGUCAUUAGUGUAGGGACGAAAACAAACAAAUCAAGCAAGAACAAACUUAGAAUACCCAAAGUAACUUAAUUGUUCCGUGAAGACAUGUUGAGGGAAAACACGCUAAAAGAAAAUAAAAGGAAACAUUAGGAAGAAACAUAAUAGAAAAAAGCACAUAGGAGUCAAAGUAGAAACAGACAGGAAUCACAGUAAGACGAAUACAGUAAGAACACUACGUAAAAUCACAGUUGAACAAAUAAAAUAAAAAAACCCUGAAUUGGAGAAGAUGAAUAGAUUUGAAAUCAAACUUUGGAAAGAGAUUUAAGGAAUCAUUUUGAAAAUCAUAAAACAACCAUGGAUCCAGAGCGGAUCUAGAGAAAUAUAGGAAAACCUUGAAGGGCUAGGAUUUCAGAAGAACCCUAAAAGUGAGAAAGGCCUGGAAAAGGGUCUGCUCUGAGCCAGCUGAGCUAGAGAUAGGAUCAUAGGACCAGGACAUGCCGGAGAUGGCUUUGAAACUUGAAUCGGUGACGAUCUGAGCGAAAAACCUAAAGGUCAAACCUUGAAUCUUCCAGUAGCUAGUGUACAAGAGCACAUGGAGGUGAGUACAAGCCAUCCAGGGCCGAGGGAUGCCAUGGAUUCUGGUGAGACAUGGUGGAAAAUAGCGAGAGAAGGCUAGGGUUCGGAGGGUAUAGAGAGAGUUUGAGAGGACGAGGGUUUGAGGGUGG